AGCUGUCACAGUGGAGGAGGAAAGACUUGUUGCUGCCAAAGCUAACAGUAAAAUGUGAAACAAAAGGAGCCUUAUUAUGUUAAAGUAGUAGAAAGGCAGCAAUUUAUUUUUCAUUUUUGUUUUCUUAUUGCUUUGAAUGAUACAGACACAAAGCCUAUGGCUUAUCAACGGUGAACAAAACCUCAGAGACUGAAGUGGGUGGUCCAGGGACCCUGUUGACUGCCCUGCGGGUCGGGACACUCUGGCACCCAACAGUAAGGCCCCUGUGGAGUCAUCAAGGAGAGGAAUGCCCUAGGAAACGAAGGAAGGGCCCUUCACGUGCAGCUCCAGGAGUGGAUUAGGUCAAGGCACAGUUGACCUGCCAGCACUUGGCCAAGGAAAUAUCUCCAGGGCAACAAAGUCUCGGACGUUUGGAAGAAAAAAUUAAUAACGUGAUUCUAGUGGAUCUGUCACAUGAAUAUUGGUGUGUGAGUAACAGAGGUGGAGGAGAAUACUGAAAAUGCCAUUUUCCAAAGACUAUGGAGAUUCAUGAAUCAGGAAUAAGGAAAAGUUUAAGAUAAAAUGUGUCAUCCCGCUGAAGUACCUGUGGGCCAUGGAUGAUGUGGACCUAGUCAGCAUCCACGAAAUCUGUACUUGCAAGACACUUGAUCUGUUUUGGCCCACUGGAAAAUUUUUGGCCACCUUUAGUAUUUAAUUGAACAGAUAAAAACAGUUGGUCCUAGAAUGCUCAAGUAUUUGAAUGUCUACUGGUCCACUGAUAAGGAUAGAGGUCAAGGGAUAAAGUUCCAUGGGAUCCACAGAUGAUAUUCACUGAGGACAUCCAAAGCUGUGACAGUCCUUUAUGUGUAAAAGCAACAAACAUCGAUACAGUGAAUGAUAUAAUGAUGAAUUUACUACCAAUGACAAGAAUGCCUGAUCUGGCCUAUUUUCCACAUUAGAAAAAUCUUCAUCCUUUCCACAGACUGGAGAAAUGAAAGCCAAUGGUUGCGUGUACUCCUAGGCACCCUCAAAGCCUCUCGGUUUUGGCUAUUUUUCUCACUGUUUCUGAAAUUAUCAUAACUUUCAAAUGUCCCUUUAUCAAGUCAUCAAAGUCACUGUGAGAAUAUGACUCUCUGGGUACUAGGUGAUGUGCUCAUGUCAAAUCAAUGUUCAAUAUUCCAUUGACAGACUGGAGAGACCUAUGUGAGUCAUUUUAUAAUAAUAUUGGUUCUGGUUAGUAUUAGUGGAUCAAAAGAACAAGGUUCCCUUUGAGAACAAGGCAAGUACCUCAGGAGUUUCUCCUGAAAUCAAAGGAGUCUCCUGAUGACUCAAACCUGUGGUCAGAAGACAUGCCAUUCGAGGAUGUGGAGAAAGAGGAACACUCCUUCACUGCUGGUAGGGUUGCAAACUAGUACAACCACUCUGGAAAUCAGUCUGGCAUUUCUUCAGAAAACUGUACAUGACACUUCCGGAGGACCCUGCUAUACCUCUCCUGGGAAUAUACCCAGAGGAUUCCCUGGCAUGCAAUAAGGACACAUGCUCUACUAUGUUCAUAGAAGCCUUAUUUAUAAUAACCAGAAACUGGAAAGAACCCAGAUGUCCCUCAACGGAGGAAUUGAUACAGAAAAUGUGGUACAUUUACACAAUGGAAUAAUACUCAGCAAUUAAAAACAAUGAAUUCAUGAAAUUUUUAGGCAAAUGUUUGGAACUGGAAAAUAUCAUCCUAAGUGAGGUAACCCAAUCACAAAAGAAUACACAUGGAAUGCAAUCUUUGAUAAGUGGAUAUUAAUUAGCCCAGAAGCUCUGAAUACCCAAGGCACAAUUAGCAUAACAAAUGACUCCCAUGAAGAAGUAAGGAAAGGGCCCUGAUCCUGGAAAGGCUUGAUCCAGCAUUGUAGGGGAGUACCAGGACAGAGAAAAAGGAGGGAGGUGAUUGGAGAAUGGGUGGAGGGAAGAAGGCUUAUGGGACAUAUGGGGAGGGGGCAACUGGGAAAGGGGAAAUCAUUUGGAAUGUAAAUAAAGAAUAUAGAAAAUAAAGAUAAAUAAAUAAAUGUAUAAAUAAAUACAUAAAAGACAUGCUAUUAAUACUGGUCCAAAUAAUUUUCCUGCUAGAGAGCUGGAAAUUAUAAGUAAAGAAAAUCACUAGAUUCUUCAAGAUUCUACUGCCAAGUUACUUGUGGCAAUUGGUUCUUUUUGGCUCUCAGAACAGUGUAGAUUACCAGCUGUGGCUCUGUCCUGGCCAUAAGGAAGCUUCAAGUGGACUCCAAGUUAAAUACCAGGGAAAUCUAAGGAAGGACUAGCUGAGUUCAGUGGUCUAACCCUGAAAUCUCAGACUUUCAUUAUUUAGUCUUAAAUAUAAGAACACACUAAAACAACUAAACAAUAUAUCAAUCAUUAAAUUCAUAAUUAAUAACUUAUUAUGCAUUCAGGCGUAUGAUAACCUCAUUAUGAAAGUGUCUGAGUUUUGACAAAAAUAUAAAAGAAACUUCUGUGUUUUCAAUGUGAGAAACAUAAUUUUCCUAAAAAGAGAAACAAAACCAAAUUAUGGAUAUAUUUUUUCUGAAAAAACUGAAAUAAAAAUCAUUUGGUAAUCAUUACAGAAAAUCCUAAAAGCAAAAGAAAAUUUUCAGUGAUUCCUAACACCCGUUUGAUAGCUCAUAGGCACCCAUUACUCCAAUUUCAGGAUAUUAAACUCCCUGCUCUGAUAUGCUCAGGUAUCAGGCUCAAUAUGGUACAAAGAUAUACAUCAGAACAAAAGAGUUGCAAACAGAAACAAGUCUAAAAUUAAAACAAAAACACCUUCCAAGAACAAUUUAGUGUCUUUAAAGAAACUAGUCACAACACUUUUCUUUUGUGUGUAGAGAUUUCUCUUAAGCAGUAAGAAAUUCGGCAACAUUAAAAAAAAAUUCUGUUUAUUUCAAACUAUGUAGAUUCUGUUUUGUAAGGGAAAUUGUAAAUGUAACCAUAUCUCUAAGUCCAUGUGAAAUAUGCAGUUCACAUCUCCUUAUGAUCAGCAUUUCCCCCACUGAAUGAGAGAUCAUAUUCAGAUUAGUGGAGAAUUCUUGAUGGACUCACCUGCUAUUUCUUCUAUUGCCAUUAUUUUGUUUUUCUCUAAAUAAAGAAUUGCCAAAUGAAUAAUAGAAAUGAAAUGAUCAGAAUCAUUUGGAGAAGAUUUUAAAUUCUUUAAUCGUCAAGUGUGAUUGCAAAGGUUAUCUUUUGAAAGAUAAUGAGUAAUGUGAUGUGCUAGCUUAUAAAGUGACAUCCAGACAAGUGAGAGUAAAAAUGGCUUUUGGAGAUCAGAUAGCAUGGUUAUUCCAAAUUUAUCAUGUAUCGUGAAAAGAAUCUGCAGUGAUAUCCUUGAUUAUUUGAAGGAAACUAAAACUGGACUACUUUCAUUUUUCUUCAACACUUAUUAUCAGGGUUAUAAUACUCUAGAUAAUAACCAUGGCAAACUCAAUGCAUACAUUUGACUUUAUUUUCCUUUGUGCAACCUAGAAUUGCUACUGUGUCAAGGCAGGUAAGGAACUCUCAACCCUUACUGUUUCAAUCAAAUGAGUGCUGAAAUUACAGGCAUGUACCAAAAUCACCUGGUCUUCGUUUUUUAUAAGGUGAAGACCAUAACAGUAGUACUCAGUAAAAAGACAAAUGUGGAGUGCACAUUCCAAGACAAAUUCAUUGGGUGAAGUGUGUCAACUUGAUAAUAUUUUAAUAUUAAGGUUUGGAAGAGUUUUGUACAUUAUGGAUGUUUCAGAAUUCCCAAGAACGUAAUGCUCUUGUUAGUUUCUCAGUAUCAUUUUGAAUGUGUAUUUUAACACAUAGGCCGUAUGCAAGUAUGUAUGCCUUAUGUUGAGAUGUUUCUAUAUUGAUCACUUGGAUGGAUCUGGAGUCGAUUUAUCUCAAUGUUGCUGUAAAUCUUGUUCUGAUUGUAGCACUGACAUUCUAUCUGUGUCAGAAUCAAAGGCAAAUCAAGACUUUCAUCAUAUUGGUGAUUCAUGAGAAAGGUUCAAAGCCAAGGUUACAUGCUUCCUAGAAAACCAUAUCCACAACACAGCACACACUCUCUAAGAUUUCUUUAGAGAAGAAAUACCUUAAAACAGGAGAGCACAUCAAGAAACUGGAUUUAAUUCUAAUUUUGUGUUUGUAGUUCUGGCCCAGAAUUACUGUUGUUUUUAAAGGUCUAAAAAUAUUGUUGUGAGAAAGGAAUUAUUCUUACUGCUUGUGAGAAACACACAUACACACACACACAUACACACACACACAACACACACACAAAUAAGAAAAAUAAUGUCUUGUGAUCGCAGUUAUCUUAAAGACACUGAAUUGUUCGGUGAAUAUGUUUUGGUGCCCCUAGAUGUAGCAUAUAGGAGAAAGUUUACUUCAAUUGCUUUUUUCAUAUGCCUCUAUGGAGAAAUAUGUUUUGUCUUAUCCAGCUCUUUGAUUGUAUACUUUCCUCUUGUGACUCUUCUUAAUCCUCAGAUUAUGAAUUAUCUGAUAUGCUGAGAAAGUUGUCUAUUGCAUGCAACUUCAUCCUGCCUCAUUAUUAGGACACAUACUUCCAGGUCCCUAACUUGAGUAAUAAAAAUCUAUUGUGUGUCCAGAAGGACUCAUGUGUUUUCUAUAGCAUACAGCAUCACCAU